rnacentral:rRNA from 1 species
CCUACGGGAGGCAGCAGUGAGGAAUAUUGGUCAAUGGCCGGAAGGCUGAACCAGCCAAGCCGCGUGAAGGACGAAGGUGCCAAGCAUUGUAAACUUCUUUUGUCAAGGGACAAAAUCAGGCUCGAGAGCCUGACCGAGGGUACUUGAAGAAAAAGCAUCGGCUAACUCCGUGCCAGCAGCCGCGGUAAUAGGGGGGAUGCGAGCGUUAUCCGGAUGUGUUGGGUUUAACGGGUGCGUGGGCGGGCUGUUAAGUCAGCGGUAAAAGCCCGGGGCUCAACGCCGGCGAGCCGUGGAAACUGGCUGUCUGGAGAUGUCGAGAGGUAUGCGGAAUGCGCGGUGUAGCGGUGAAAUGCGUAGAUAUUGCGCAGAACUCCGAUGGCGAAGGCAGCAUACCGGCGGCGAUCUGACGCUGAGGCACGAAAGCGUGGGUAUCGAACAGGAUUAGAUACCCCAGUAGUC